UACCUGCAGCUCAAGUGGUGAUCAUUAUUAUUGGGCCUAAAACGUCCGUAGCCGGUUUAGUAAAUGCCUGGGUAAAUCGCGUAGCUUAACUAUACGACUUCCGGGUAGACUACUAAACUUGAGACCGGGAGAGGCUAGAGGUACUCCUGGGGUAGAGGUGAAAUUCUGUAAUCCUAGGGGGACCACCAGUGGCGAAGGCGUCUAGCUAGAACGGGUCUGACGGUGAGGGACGAAGCCCUGGGGCACAAACCGGAUUAGAUACCCGGGUAGUCCAGGGUGUAAACGCUGCUUGCUUGAUGUUAGUUGGGCUCCGAGCCCAGCUAGUGUCGGAGAGAAGUUGUUAAGCAAGCUGCCUGGGAAGUACGGUCGCAAGGCUGAAACUUAAAGGAAUUGGCGGGGGAGCACAGCAACGGGUGGAGCGUGCGGUUU
rnacentral:rRNA from 1 species